UACAGAGGGUGCGAGCGUUAAUCGGAAUUACUGGGCGUAAAGCGUGCGUAGACGGCUAUCUAAGUCGGGUGUGAAAGCCCCGGGCUCAACCUGGGAAUUGCAUUCGAGACUGAAUAGCUAGGGUACCGGUAGAGGGAAGUGGAAUUUCCGGUGUAGCGGUGAAAUGCGUAGAUAUCGGAAGGAACAUCAGUGGCGAAAGCGACUUCCUGGACCAGUACCGACGUUCAGGCACGAAAGCGU
rnacentral:rRNA from 1 species